UACGUAGGGACCAAGCGUUGUUCGGAUUUACUGGGCGUAAAGGGCGCGUAGGCGGCAAUUCAAGUCAUCUGUGAAAUCUCCGGGCUUAACUCGGAAUGGUCAGGUGAUACUGCUUUGCUAGAGUGCAGAAGGGGCAAUCGGAAUUCUUGGUGUAGCGGUGAAAUGCGUAGAUAUCAAGAGGAACACCUGAGGUGGAGACGGGUUGCUGGGCUGACACUGACGCUGAGGCGCGAAAGCUAGGGGAGCGAAUGGG
rnacentral:rRNA from 1 species